AGGGAAUCUUCCACAAUGGACGCAAGUCUGAUGGAGCAACGCCGCGUGAGUGAAGAAGGCUUUCGGGUCGUAAAACUCUGUUAUUGAAGAAGAACGUGUGUGACAGUAACUGGUCAUGCAGUGACGGUAUUCAAUCAGAAAGUCACGGCUAACUACGUGCCAGCAGCCGCGGUAAUACGUAGGUGGCAAGCGUUGUCCGGAUUUAUUGGGCGUAAAGCGAGUGCAGGCGGUCUUUUAAGUCUGAUGUGAAAGCCUUCGGCUUAACCGAAGAAGGGCAUCGGAAACUGGGAGACUUGAGUGCAGAAGAGGAGAGUGGAACUCCAUGUGUAGCGGUGAAAUGCGUAGAUAUAUGGAAGAACACCAGUGGCGAAGGCGGCUCUCUGGUCUGUAACUGACGCUGAGGCUCGAAAGCGUGGGUAGCAAACAGGAUUAGAUACCCUGGUAGUCCACGCCGUAACGAUGAAUACUAAGUGUUGGAGGGUUUCCGCCCUUCAGUGCUGCAGCUAACGCAUUAAGUAUUCCGCCUGGGGAGUACGACCGCAAGGUUGAAAC
rnacentral:rRNA from 1 species